UACGAAGGGGGCUAGCGUUGUUCGGAAUUACUGGGCGUAAAGCGCACGUAGGCGGAUAUUUAAGUCAGGGGUGAAAUCCCAGAGCUCAACUCUGGAACUGCCUUUGAUACUGGGUAUCUCGAGUAUGGAAGAGGUGAGUGGAAUUCCGAGUGUAGAGGUGAAAUUCGUAGAUAUUCGCAAGAACACCAGUGGCGAAGGCGGCUCACUGGCCCAUAACUGACGCUGAGGAGCGAAAGCAUGGGGAGCGAACAGG
rnacentral:rRNA from 1 species